UACGAAGGGGGCUAGCGUUGCUCGGAAUCACUGGGCGUAAAGCGCACGUAGGCGGAUCUUUAAGUCAGGGGUGAAAUCCUGGAGCUCAACUCCAGAACUGCCUUUGAUACUGGAGAGCUUGAGUCCGGAAGAGGUGAGUGGAACUCCGAGUGUAGAGGUGAAAUUCGUAGAUAUUCGGAAGAACACCAGUGGCGAAGGCGGCUCACUGGUCCGGUACUGACGCUGAUGUGCGAAAGCGUGGGGAGCAAACGGG
rnacentral:rRNA from 1 species